CCGCCGCCCUUGCUCCCCGGCCCGGCGGCGCCUGAGCAGCGGGAUCCGGCUCUGGCCCGCGCUGCACCUCCGAGCCCGUGUUAGAACUACCUGCUUCUGGUUGUCAUAGAGAAAUUGGGCUUGAAGGGACCUCCAGAGGUCAUCUAGUUCAACCGCUUGCUAAAGGGAGGAUCAUCCCUGUCCAAACCAUCCCAUACAACCGUAAUCUAAACUCUACGUAGGACUGCUCUCAACCCUGACGCAACAUACACCUAACACCCUAGCCUGCCACAGGUAGGAGAACCAUGCCAAAAUGUCCUGCUUCUGUAAAAUAUUGUCAAUAUAUGUUCAAGAGGUCCUGGGUAGAGGGCCGUGCUCCCCUGUA
rnacentral:lncRNA from 1 species